GAUGAACGCUAGCGACAGGCUUAACACAUGCAAGUCGAGGGGCAGCACAGGUAGCAAUACCGGGUGGCGACCGGCGCACGGGUGAGUAACGCGUAUGCAACUUACCUAUCAGAGGGGGAUAACCCGGCGAAAGUCGGACUAAUACCGCCUGAAGCAGGGGUCCCGCAUGGGGCUAUUUGCUAAAGAUUCAUCGCUGAUAGAUAGACAUGCGUUCCAUUAGGCAGUUGGCGGGGUAACGGCCCACCAAACCGACGAUGGAUAGGGGUUCUGCGAGGAAGGUCCCCCACAUGGGUACUGAGACACGGACCAAACUCCUACGGGAGGCAGCAGGGAGGAAUAUUGGUCAAUGGGCGUAAGCCUGAACCAGCCAAGUCGCGUGAGGGAUGAAGGUUCUAUGGAUCGUAAACCUCUUUUAUAAGGGAAUAAAGUGCGGGACGUGUCCUGUUUUGUAUGUACCUUAUGAAUAAGGAUCGGCUAACUCCGUGCCAGCAGCCGCCGUAA
rnacentral:rRNA from 1 species